rnacentral:rRNA from 1 species
AAGGCUUACGGUGGAUACCUAGGCACCCAGAGACGAGGAAGGGCGUAGUAAGCGACGAAAUGCUUCGGGGAGUUGAAAAUAAGCGUAGAUCCGGAGAUUCCCGAAAUUACGAUGCAUACUUCUUUCAGAAGUGUGA